rfam:Sorghum bicolor cultivar BTx623 chromosome 2, whole genome shotgun sequence.
AAGCUCGACGACGAGGAGAUUGCUUCGUACAUCCUCGCUGGUCUCGACAGGGAUUUUGAUCCCGUCGUCUCCGGCGUCUCCAACCGCGACGAACCGGUGUCCCUCGGCAACCUCUACACCCAACUUGUCAGUUGGGA